rnacentral:rRNA from 1 species
UAGCGUAUAUUAAAGUUGUUGCAGUUUAAAAGCUCGUAGUUGAAUUUCUGGCAUGGGCGACCGGUGCUUUCCCUGAAUGGGGAUUGAUUGUCUGUGUUGCCUUGGCCAUCUUUUUCUUUUCUUUAUAGGGGAGAAAUCUUUCACUGUAAUCAAAGCAGAGUGUUCCAAGCAGGUCGUAUGACCGGUAUGUUUAUUAUGGGAUGAUAAGAUAGGACUUGGGUGCUAUUUUGUUGGUUUGCACGCCUGAGUAAUGGUUAAUAGGAACAGUCU